rnacentral:lncRNA from 1 species
UCUGAUCAGAAAUUCAACACGAAUUCUCCAAACAUAAAUCAAUCACACAACGCCUUACCGUUUCACUUGUGUUUCCCGUGGUGUUUCCCUAUGGAUCUAAAUAGGAGCUCUAGAUACCAAUUAUUAGUGCACAAGGUGAUAAAUAUGAACAACGGAAAUAAGAGAGAGAGAAGAGAAAAUAAUAAAAAACUUCCACUACUCUAAAACGGUUACAGUAAAAUGCACACACACUGCUCUACUACACUACACAGACU